CGGAAUCUCAACACCGUUUAAUUUAACAUAUAUUGUGUACGUUGUGUAUCAGUAAUAAAAAUUAUAUAUAAUGUGACCAUCGCUGAAAUGGGUUAUACAAGUUAUAUGAUUGUGAUGUGGAAAUAUGAGCCAUCUAUACGACUUUACACAUAGUUUGUUUUUAACCAUCCCUUCAGCAUUAACCACAUGUGCAUUUGAAAAAUGAAGUGAAGCAAAAAAAAG
rnacentral:lncRNA from 1 species